GGAGACGUGGCCGAGUGGUUAUGGCGCUGUAAGUUACUACAUGCUGCCACAUCAAAGUUAGGAUCAUGACCUAACAACCAAACCAGAGUUUCAGGCUGCUAUGUGUACAAUUGUACGCUGAGUUCAGUUUACUAGUGGGUAAUUCCGCGUGGGUUCGAGUCCCACCGUCUUCA
rfam:Sphaerulina musiva SO2202 unplaced genomic scaffold SEPMTscaffold_3, whole genome shotgun sequence.